AAAACCAUCUCCUCCGUUGCAAGACUCUUUUAAAUUCUUUUUAACUCUUUAUUGAUACUUUUGGCCCCCUUUCAGCCCAGAUGCCAAUGCCCUUGACUACACCUUUUGGGGGAAGGUCGAGGGAAAGGCCUGCAGUGUCCGUCAUCCAAACACAGAGGGACUCAUUGCCACUCCCAACUAGUACUGGGACACCAACACAGAGGACUACAUCCGUAACGGGUACCGGGUCUUCCGUUGCCGCCUGAAAGACCUCAUUACCUCUAACGAUGGCUACAUUAAAAAUGAAGAAGGCUCAGACACUAAUCUAUUUAGAUCCUUUUCGCUUUAGCUACUUUAAUAUCCAGCAUUAUCUGCUCCAAAGCAUUUGUAAUCUUGGAUCCAGCCACAGGGAGGGAAGUCCGACCAGCACUUGAGCAAACAUUGUCUGCUGAAGAAGCAGUGAAUUCCCUCUUACAAGAAAGAUUUAUUCGUAACACUAUUCCACUUUAUAGCCCAAUUUAUUAUAAAGAGGAUUUGAAUCGAGAACUCAUUCCUCAAGGGUCUGAGUAUCUUUUAUCAGAUGGAACACCUCGUUACAAGAUCUAUAGAAAGAGUCCUUAUGGAAGGAAAUAAAUAAAUACUGAUUUUUUGUACAUGUUAUAAGGCAAAAUCUAAAUAAUAUUUACUUAUAUUUGCAAAAAUAUCCCCCCGCCGCCCCCCCCCUAUAUUAACCCUCAGUGAGGAGAAUAACAAGUUUUUCAUAUGAAUGAAAUGUGUUCAUAAAUAUUUAAUACCUGUGUAUGUAGUUAAAUAAUAUAAUGUUAUAUUCCUAUUUUGAGAAAUAAACGCACGUCUAAAAAAGCAACGUUCUACAGCCCUUUACUUCUAAUACUUUUCGAGGAA
rnacentral:misc_RNA from 1 species